AGGUAUUUUAUUUAGAAAAUGUAUGUGAUGCUUGUGCAAGAUUUAACACCAUGUUACUAGGGUUUUGUAGUUGCCAAGGCAAUGCUAGGUAGAUUCUAAGGUAUUUUAAAAAGUUUUUAAUAUGUUGUUGUGCAUUUGCUAAGCUGUUUUUGGGUGGUUGCUAGUUAGAUGCUCAGGGCAAAAGAGCGGACCCAGGUCUAAUGACACUGGUCCCUCAAUCAGAGCAAGUCUGAAAGUUUUAUUGUCCACCGUGUUUAAAUGAAUCUCUAACCUGACUACAAGCUUUUUAACUGGAGUUGCAUGCCUGAAAAGACUUACAUAUCUGGAAACAUGACAAAUAUUGGCUUUACUUGGCUUUAUCCAUCGAAUAAUGUGAUUAAGCAACAUUAUUUGUUCAGUAGGCCUACAGCUUUCUCAUUUGCACAGUGAAGGCUCUGUGUUAUCAUGCCUGUCUUGUGCUUUUGGGGCGUCAUGUAUAAAGGGUAGUUCCUCUUUGAGCUGAACCUUCCUGUCGCUAUAUACAGGAGCAAACUAGAAAAUUUUACAUUGGUUCUGCAACCUUCAGCGAUUGAAGACAUGACUGCCUUUAGACUGGAGUUUCUCUUUUUCACUGCCCUUCUGGGCUCAGUCAAAACACGAUCUGUUGAUACAACUGGCAUGACGAAUGACCUGAUGGGUGCGGAUGACAACAUGACAGGUGACAUGUGUCAGGACUGCACUCAGAUUUUUGAGCUUCUGAAGGACCUCUUUUCCAAUGGGGACUUCCAGGCCAAAUUAGCUGCCUCUCUUGAGCAACUGUGUGAUGAGUUGCCUGCCCAAAUCUCUAAAAUCUGCCACACUGAGGUGGAAAAGAUGCUUCCUUUUGCCAUCACCUUCAUUACCAGCAUGAUGCAACCCAAUGACAUCUGUACAUUUCUUGGAUUGUGUGGAGGACGUGACAUUGACAGGAUUAGAGAUAUGUUGCUUAAUCACAUGUCAAAAACUCUACCAGUGCCAACUAUGAAGAUGGAGACGUCCAUGCAGUGCUCUGUUUGCACAUACAUUGUGAGCACCCUGAGAGUAUCUGUUUCCCAGAGAGAGGACUCAGAGCAUCAUAACUGUCCUGCUGGAGAGUUUGUGCAAAGAGUUUCCUCCUCUGUUUCAGCCACAGUGCAAUAAGAUGGUUGAAAAAUACGUCCAGCUGUUGGUUGACAUGCUACUGAACAAUACUUCACCUAACUUCAUAUGCACUCUGCUUCAUCUUUGUGAAAUACAGGAGCAUCCCGUCAAAG
ensembl:lncRNA